rnacentral:rRNA from 1 species
CUGCUGCCUCCCGUAGGAGUUUGGUCCGUGUCUCAGUACCAAUGUGGGGGGUUGACCUCUCAGCCCCCCUAUGUAUCGUCGCCUUGGUGAGCCGUUACCUCACCAACUAGCUAAUACAACGCAUGUCCAUCUCUGACCACCUGAGUUUUCAACCACCGAAGAUGCCUCCGGUGAUGUUAUGGGGUAUUAGUACCAAUUUCUCGAUGUUAUCCCCCUGUCAAAGGUAGGUUACAUACGCGUUACGCACCCGUCCGCCGGUCGCCGG